GACACUUUAGCUCAGUCGGUAGAGCGCAAGACUCCUAAUCUUGCAGACGCAGGUUCGAGUCCCGCAUGCGGUA
rfam:Gregarina niphandrodes unplaced genomic scaffold scaffold00153, whole genome shotgun sequence.